rnacentral:rRNA from 1 species
AUUGAACGCUGGCGGCAGGCCUAACACAUGCAAGUCGAGCGAGCGGCGGACGGGUGAGUAAUGUAUGGGGAACUGCCCGAUGGAGGGGGAUAACUACUGGAAACGGUAGCUAAUACCGCAUACUAUCAGAUGAACCCAGAUGGGAUUAGCUAGUAGGUGGGGUAAAGGCUCACCCAGGCGACGAUCUCUAGCUGGUCUGAGAGGAUGAGCAGCCAAACUGGGACCGAGACACGGCCCAGACUCCUACGGGAGGCAGCAGUGGGGAAUAUUGCACAAUGGGCGCAAGCCUGAUGCAGCCAUGCCGCGUGUAUGAAGAAGGCCUUAGGGUUGUAAAGUACUUUCAGCGGGGAGGCGUUACCCGCAGAAGAAGCACCGGCUAACUCCGUGCCAGCAGCCGCGGUAAUAC